rnacentral:rRNA from 1 species
CCUACGGGGGGCAGCAGUGAGGAAUAUUGGUCAAUGGACGAGAGUCUGAACCGGCCAAGUAGCGUGAAGGAUGACUGCCCUAUGGGUUGUAAACUUCUUUUAUAUGGGAAUAAAAUGUUCCACGUGUGGGAUUUUGUAUGUACCAUAUGAAUAAGGAUCGGCUAACUCCGUGCCAGCAGCCGCGGUAAUACGGAGGAUCCGAGCGUUAUCCGGAUUUAUUGGGUUUAAAGGGAGCGUAGGUGGAUUGUUAAGUCAGUUGUGAAAGUUUGCGGCUCAACCGUAAAAUUGCAGUUGAAACUGGCAGUCUUGAGUGCAGUAGAGGUGGGCGGAAUUCGUGGUGUAGCGGUGAAAUGCUUAGAUAUCACGAAGAACUCCGAUUGCGAAGGCAGUUCACUGGACUGCAACUGACACUGAGGCUCGAAAGUGUGGGUAUCAAACAGGAUUAGAUACCCUAGUAGUC